GACGAACGCUGGCGGCGUGCUUAACACAUGCAAGUCGAACGGAAAGGCCCUGCUUUUGUGGGGUGCUCGAGUGGCGAACGGGUGAGUAACACGUGAGUAACCUGCCCUUGACUUUGGGAUAACUUCAGGAAACUGGGGCUAAUACCGGAUAGGAGCUCCUGCUGCAUGGGGGGGGUUGGAAAGUUUCGGCGGUUGGGGAUGGACUCGCGGCUUAUCAGCUUGUUGGUGGGGUAGUGGCUUACCAAGGCUUUGACGGGUAGCCGGCCUGAGAGGGUGACCGGCCACCUUGGGCCUGCGGUACGGCCCAGACUCCUACGGGAGGCAGCAGUGGGGAAUAUUGCACAAUGGGCGGAAGCCUGAUGCAGCAACGCCGCGUGCGGGAUGACGGCCUUCGGGUUGUAAACCGCUUUCGCCUGUGACGAAGCGUGAGUGACGGUAAUGGGUAAAGAAGCACCGGCUAACUACGUG
rnacentral:rRNA from 1 species